GCCGGGCGCGGUGGCGGGCGCCUGUAGUCCUAGCUACUCAGGAGGCUGAGGCAGGAGAAUGGCGUGAGCCCAGGAGGCAGAGCUUGCAGUGAGCCGAGAUCGCGCCACUGCACUCCAGCCUGGGCAACAGCGUGAGACUCCGUCUCAA
rnacentral:sRNA from 1 species